GAUGGAAAAUAUAUUUUAUUUAAUUUUAUAUUUUCACUUCUCUUUGAAAAACAAUUACUAGGUACAAAACACAAUACACUUAGCAGCAAGUCAUCGCGUUCAACGCAGUCCACCUGAACUUAAGUUCUGAGUUGUUAGUGGGUGCGUUAUCAAAAUUAGAUAGUUAAAUUUGACAAAAUUUGAGACCUUCUCAAUUUCUUCAUUUUUAAACUACCAACGAAAAACGCACAAAAACGGAAUUAACCACGCAAACAACCAAAAUUUGACCAUUUUCUGACAAGAAGAACAAAGAAAAUUUGUUAUUUUUUCAAAUAAUUUCAAUUUAAAAUGACAUUUUAUAAAUUAAAACAAAAACAAAUUUCCUGUUUACUGUGAUUCAAAUAUAUUAAUUAAAGGCCGAACUGACAGAAAGGUCUCCGCUUUUUGACAAACUAAUAUUGAAUAAAAGUAUUCUCAAAAAAAAAUUGUUGGUGGUUUGACAAUUUAACAAUAUCUAACAAUAAAUCGUUCCUAAAUGUUUUUUAAAAAACCUAAAAAAUUCUGAACAAUGACAUUUCGACAAUAUUUUGUUUGUUUGUUUCUAUUGUUCGAAAAAGAACGCACCUCCGAUAGGUGAUUGAAGGCACCCAUUAAAUAUGAAUUUGAGAAACUUCAUUUAUAUAUUGUAUAUGACUUCAUUUCAUAACAAAUUAAAUAAAACAUAACUGCAAGCUAUGGUAUAAUUAUAUUUAUCCAUUAUUAUACCAUGAUUGCAAGCAACAUUAAGUUGCUAUUAAAAUUCGUCCAAUUGACCCCCAACCAAGCCAGCAAAUGGGAAAUUCAAUGUCGAUGGAGGUGGUCCAGAGCCUUUUUACUUUGAUCACAUACUCGAUCAAAAUGUAAGCAAACAAGUUAUCUUCGAUACAAUUGCUAAACAGAUUGUGCCUGUUGGUGUAAAAGAGAAAACUUAUCCAAUGAUGUUCGAUGAACAAAACCCAGGUGUCAUGGUCCUAGCUGCUAAAAAAAUCUUCAAGAAAAAGGCAAUUCUUAUUGACAGUUAUAGCUACAUAGAAAUCUACAAUGAAAAAAUUCUUCUAAAUAAAUCCAAUACAGAUCUUCAAAUUCAUGAAACCUCAAAUUCUGAAGUUGCAGUCAAUUACAAAUAUCAUAGCAUGAUGUGAGCAAGAUUUGCUCGUGUACUUACGUGAAGGUAGCACACACAGAAGAAUAGUUGCUUGAAACGCAUAUGAAUGAACGCUCCAGUCGAUCGCAUGCUAUUUUUCGAAUUAUUAUAGAAUCCCGAAAAAUUGAUCAAACUGAUAAAGAUUCUGUACAAAUAAGUAUUUUGAAUCUUGUUGAUGUAGAUGGCUGUGAGAGAGCAGAUCAAACAGGAUCCACAGGUCCUUGUUUGAAAGAAGGUGGCUAUAUUAAUAAAAGUCUACUUUUUCUCAGUCGAGUAAUAAAGCACCUUGGUGAAGCUAAAUAUGUCAUCGUGAUUCGAUACUAACAAAAAUAUUACAAGUGUCGUUGGGUGGUACCUAAUGCUUUAACUGAUAUAAUUAGUACAUACUAUCCACUCAACGGAUGUAGAAGAAAUAUUGUCCACGCUGAGGUUACAGGAUAGUUUAAAUAAUGUUGCACAAAAUCUUGUAUUCUUGUAUACUAUUCUAUCGCACCAAAGUGAACUCUGGGUUUAAUUGAUG